rnacentral:rRNA from 1 species
UUAGGAAAGAUUCUUCGGAUGAUUUCCUAUUUGACUGAGCGGCGGACGGGUAAGUAACGCGUGGGUAACCUGCCUCAUACAGGGGGAUAACAGUUAGAAAUGACUGCUAAUACCGCAUAAGACCACAGCACCGCAUGGUGCAGGGGUAAAAACUCCGGUGGUAUGAGAUGGACCCGCGUCUGAUUAGUUAGUUGGUGGGGUAACGGCCCACCAAGCCGACGAUCGGUAGCCGACCUGAGAGGUUGAUCGGCCACACUGGGACUGAGACACGGUCCAGACUCC